CAUUUCACAAAUUCUCUAAGUAUGGGAUAUAAACCGGUUUUUGACAGGUUCUUAUUUUGGAAUAAUUGUUUGAAAUGUUUAUUGGAGUUUAAUUUUAAUUCAAGCUAAGUGUUCAUUUUCACUACUUCAGCUUACAUUAAGUGGCAUGCUCCAAAUAAGUUUUCCAAAUACACCAACAGUCAGUCAAUUCAGCCUCUUUGAUGCGACAAAUCAUGAGCUAGCUGACAUAUACCAGAAAACCAAACUGUGCCUCAUUGCAAAGAAAACUCAUCAGAUUUAAACAAUUCAAAGGAUUUAAAAAAGGUAA
rnacentral:sRNA from 1 species